GCGGUACCGCCGCCGCUGCCGCUGCCGCCGCCGCCGCCGCCGCCGCUCCGGUGCCGGGUCCGGUUCCUGCUGCAGCCGCUGAGCCUGAUUUCAGAGCCGGUUUCUGCGGUUUGAGUCUCUAUCAGUUUUCUGCAGUGAACCAUGACCACAUCUAACAGCAACCUUUGAAGUCUCCAAAAAGAUCAUGGGGGCCCACAACGAUGAUUCCAUCAGGGCUAUGAUAACACCACUAAGCUGACAAACACCACUCAAAGAUCGGCUUAGGACUACAAAGUGCUUAGGACAAUUUCCAGAUGGCUAACUGAAAUGAUCCAGCCUCACAGACUACUCUAGCCAGGACCUGAGACAAUCCCUGCACUUUCCCAUUAUGCAGAGAUUGGACAACAAAUGAUACAGCUACCUCUCCCAGGACUUGACAAUUAACCCAAAUUUUCUUUUCAGGAUCCCUUAAAGAUGCCAUCACCCCCAGACAGCAGGAAGUAAUUUUAAGAACACGAUACCCACAUUCCCAAGAGAUAGGGUGGGUGGUUUUGGGUCAUUUAAUUAUGGAUAGUUGUCAUUGUUUUGGUGGUUGAUUACAAAUUGUUAUUGGUAAUGGUCAAGAAAAGAAGCUAAACAAAGGAGAUUAGACUCAGGGUUCUUGUUUGAAAAAAAAGAAAGACGGGCGGUGGUGGCGCACACCUUUAAUCCCAGCACUCGGGAGGCAGAGGCAGGUGGAUCUUUGUGAGUUCGAGGCCAGCCUGGUCUACAGAGCGAGAUCCAGGAAAAGGCGCAAAGCUACACAGAGAAACCCUGUCUCGAAAAACAAAAAAAAAAAAAAGAAAAAAAGGAGGCUAUGGAUAUGAUAAGAUAAAAAGGUAGAUUACUGAAUCUACUAGUUUUAAAUAUUUUACAUUGGAUUGGAUUUUUGUAUAUUGUAUACAAAUUGUGUGUAUUGAUACAAAGUUGAGAUUAUUUUUGUUAGAACAUUCUGUACAUAUAUUUCUAAUCUUGUUCAAGGUAUUGUACCUAUACAAUUCAUUUAAUGAUGCAAUGCAAAUUGUUAGUCCUUGAAAGUUAUUAUUAUAAACUAUUUAGGAUAAUAUAGAAAUGCAGGUUAGUAGUUAGUCACCUACUACAAUCGAACUUGUAGUCAGAUUAUGUAUGUUUUCAAGGUCAAACAGAGAUAUAUUUUAGAUAGACAGGUCAUCUUCAAACACUUCAGAGAUCUACAGAAUAUGGCAUUUAAGGUGUUUUAAUAACAUAGAUUCUUUUUGUAUGGCAAGGAGUCAUGUCUGCUCCUGGCAGCACCAAUAUACUUCAGAGAAGAUGAUGGGCAUCAAAGAAACUCCAUAUGGAGUUUACUUUCUUUGUGGCAAAAGUUAGCCACUGGGCAAGAAAGUACUCUUGCUUUGACUGCUGACAAUAUGCUGUCCAAAAUGGACAAGCAGGACACAAAGGACUGCCAAACCUUGCCAAGAUAAUGUAGGAAGGCCCUUCAGAAAAUUCUGCUUCAUAGAAAAGUCUGUCAGAUACGCUAGGCCUCUAGGCUGAAAAUGGAUGCUCCAAUGUUGCAGAGAAACUUUGGGUGACUGUCCAGGUAGUCAGCUGUUUCUGUCAUUUUUCACAUUUUUUGGAAGUUGUUUGCUCUGCAUUUCCUAUUUACUCAGGUAAUAUUAUUUCCUUCUUAGGUCUCUGAUGGAUUUGAAGACUAGAAGAUAGUUAUAGUUUUCCUUGUUAACAAAUUCAGAAAAGAAACUCACUAAAGAGGUGUAAAGUGUAUAAGUUUGAAAGAUACCUAAAGAUAGUUUUUGGUAGGUAAUACAAGUUAGGAUAGAAAAUGAAUUAGGUACAACACUUUCGACUCACCAAAAUAUGAUAAAUAAGUGAGUAUUUUCUCUGAAUUUGUCAAUUGUUAAUGGACUGGACAUUAUUAAUGUAAUUCUCCGCCGCCCGCCCCCCCCCCCCC